AUUGAACGCUGGCGGCAUGCCUUACACAUGCAAGUCGAACGGCAGCGGGGGAGAAGCUUGCUUUUCCUGCCGGCGAGUGGCGAACGGGUGAGUAAUACAUCGGAACGUGCCCUGUAGUGGGGGAUAACUAGUCGAAAGAUUAGCUAAUACCGCAUACGACCUGAGGGUGAAAGUGGGGGACCGCAAGGCCUCAUGCUAUAGGAGCGGCCGAUGUCUGAUUAGCUAGUUGGUGGGGUAAAGGCCUACCAAGGCGACGAUCAGUAGCUGGUCUGAGAGGACGAUCAGACACACUGGGACUGAGACACGGCCCAGACUCCUACGGGAGGCAGCAGUGGGGAAUUUUGGACAAUGGGCGAAAGCCUGAUCCAGCAAUGCCGCGUGUGUGAAGAAGGCCUUCAGGUUGUAAAGCACUUUUGUCCGGAAAGAAAUGGCUCUGGUUAAUACCUGGGGUCGAUGACGGUACCGGAAGAAUAAGGACCGGCUAACUACGUGCCAGCCGCCGCGGUAACAC
rnacentral:rRNA from 1 species